rnacentral:rRNA from 1 species
AGAUUGAACGCUGGCGGCAUGCCUUACACAUGCAAGUCGAACGGUAACAGGUUAAGCUGACGAGUGGCGAACGGGUGAGUAAUAUAUCGGAACGUGCCCAGUAGUGGGGGAUAGCCCGGCGAAAGCCGGAUUAAUACCGCAUACGACCUACGGGUGAAAGCGGGGGAUCGCAAGACCUCGCGCUAUUGGAGCGGCCGAUAUCAGAUUAGCUUGUUGGCGGGGUAAAAGCCCACCAAGGCGACGAUCUGUAGCUGGUCUGAGAGGACGACCAGCCACACUGGGACUGAGACACGGCCCAGACUCCUACGGGAGGCAGCAGUGGGGGAAUUUUGGACAAUGGACGAAAGUCUGAUCCAGCCAUGCCGCGUGCGGGAAGAAGGCCUCGGUUGUAACGCUUUGUCAGGAGAAAGUCUCGGGUUAAUACCUUGGGAUGAUGACGGUACCUGAAGAAUAAGCACCGGCUAACUACGCGCCAGCAGCCGCGGU